ACACAAUAUGCUCUUUCAGGAAUUCAGAAGUUUACCAAACAAAGCUACAUCUUACAUGAAGAACACCAGGGUUUUAACUGCAACGGAUUGUACUAGUUAAGUUGCGACCAAUGAUUCAUUCUUCAGCUUAAUAUCCAAGCCCGUGGUUUCUGCAUACUGCUAGGGAGACAGACAGAAAGAAGAGGCAGAAUGCAGCUUGAGAUAGUACAUCCUACGUUCUCCACCUUGUUUCACAGGGUAGCCUGGAAAUUUACACAUAGGUUAACAAAAAUUUCUUCAUUCCAUGCAUACACAUGAGCGUUGUAUGAUUAAUCCCUUGCCUUCGAAAUAGUUUCGACUUGCAUCCGAGUAAGGCAAAAGCAUUAUCGUUGCAUGGGAAAAUCUGCUAGCGUCGCGAGGAGAUCAGAUGAUCUCCGUGGGAUUCAGGCCUUCAAGGGCCUGCAGUGCUUCCUGGAGACCUGGACAGAUCUGAAACCGUCUCUUUCCAAAUAUUCUGCAAGCUUGGCCUGUUGAUAUGCGUCAAAUCAUCAUCAACAUUAGAGUUCAAACAAGAUUAUUUUACUAUACAGAAUACAGAAUUAUAGGGCUCGUUUCUAGUGGAGAGUGAUAUGUUGAGAUCAAAGGCAAAAAGGCUUGUGGCUGCUGCAGGUUAGAAGAUACUUGUCCUGGAACUCAAAGAAAUUGCACAGGCCGGCCUAGAGAAAGGGAGAAGGAGGCAAGAAGAUCUAGGUGCCAACGAAGGAAACGAUUAACAUACUAAAUGACUGGCGGAGAAGAUGAGCUGUUGCUCCUAAUGCCGACACUUCAGUCGAUUUGAAGGAACCUGCGGCGAACCAAGAAGGG
rnacentral:lncRNA from 1 species